rnacentral:ncRNA from 1 species
GAAAGCCGUAUGCGGGAAAACCGCACGUACGGUUUGAUGAGGAGGGGCUGGUAUACCCAGUCCUUUACUCUAC